GUACACGCUGUGACUAGCAUAUCAAUAAGCGGAGGAAAAGAAACUAACAAGGAUUCCCCUAGUAACGGCGAGUGAAGCGGGAAGAGCUCAAAUUUGAAAUCUUAAAGGGUUUCCCUUUACGAAUUGUAGUUUAAAGAAGUGUCUUCUGUUGAGGUUUUGGUAAAAGUUCUUUGGAAUAGGACAUCAUAGAGGGUGAGAAUCCCGUAUUUGACCUUUACUUUCAACUUUGUGAUACACUUUCAAAGAGUCGGAUUGUUUGGGAAUGCAGUCCAAAAUGGGUGGUAAAUUUCAUCUAAAGCUAAAUAUUGGCGAGAGACCGAUAGCGAACAAGUACCGUGAGGGAAAGAUGAAAAGAACUUUGAAAAGAGAGCUAAACAGUACGUGAAAUUGUCAAAAGGGAAGCGUUUGACACCAGUGUUGUUUUUCUGAAAAUCAAUUAAAGAACUGUUUAUGCUAAGUUGUUUAGACUUUAUCAGCUAUCUGUUUAGUUUUGAGCUUUUCUUUAAUGCACUUUUCAGUUAACAAGUCAACAUCAAUUUCUUUUGCUGUAAAAAAGCUUGAGGAAGGUGGCUUGAGAUUCGUCUUAAGUGUUUAUAGCCUCUUGCCUAUGCAGUCGGAGAGAUUGAGGUCUGCAGCGUAGAUCCUUCGGGGCUAAAUGCAUUUGUGCUAAGUUAUAGCAUUUUAUAGACAACUUGUUGGACUAUGAUUUGUCUUGUAGCUUACUCGCUUAUGUUAUUUUACCUACGCUUAGGAUGUUGAAGAUGUAGCACAUCAU
rnacentral:rRNA from 1 species